rnacentral:rRNA from 1 species
CAGCAGCCACGGUAAUACGUAGGUGGCAAGCGUUGUCCGGAAUUAUUGGGCGUAAAGGGCUCGCAGGCGGUUUCUUAAGUCUGAAGUUAAAGGCAUUGGCUCAACCAAUGUAUGCUUUGGAAACUGUUAGACUUGAGUGCAGAAGGGGAGAGUGGAAUUCCAUGUGUAGCGGUGAAAUGCGUAGAUAUAUGGAGGAACACCGGUGGCGAAAGCGGCUCUCUGGUCUGUCACUGACGCUGAGGCUCGAAAGCGUGGGUAGCGAACAGGAUUAGAUACCCCAGUAGUCCCUGUCUCUUAUACA